rnacentral:antisense_RNA from 1 species
UGUGGGAGCGGGCUUGCUCGCGAAGGCGCCAUGUCAGCCAACAUCACCAUCAACUGAUCCAGCGCAUUCGCGAGCAAGCCCGCUCCCACA